AAGCCAUGCAUGUCUCAGUACUUGCUUUUACAAGGCGAAACCGCGAAUGGCUCAUUAAAUCAGUUAUGGUUCACUAGAUCGUCAAUUUUACACGGAUAACUGUGGUAAUUCUAGAGCUAAUACGUGCAAAUAGCUCGCUUCCUUGCGGAGCGAGCGCAGUUAUUAGAUCAAAACCAAUCCGGCCUUCGGGUCGGUACAAUUGGUGACUCUGAAUAACCGAAGCGGAGCGCAUGGUCUCGUACCGGCGCCAGAUCUUUCAAGUGUCUGACUUAUCAGCUUGUUGUUAGGUUACGUUCCUAACAAGGCUUCAACGGGUAACGGGGUAUCAGGGUCCGAUACCGGAGAGGGAGCCUGAGAAACGGCUACCACAUCCAAGGAAGGCAGCAGGCGCGCAAAUUACCCACUCCUAGCACAGGGAGGUAGUGACGAAAAAUAACGAUGCGAGGGCUAUUAGCUUCUCGUAAUCGGAAUGGGUACACUUUAAAUCCUUUAACGAGGAUCUAUUGGAGGGCAAGUCUG
rnacentral:rRNA from 1 species